rnacentral:rRNA from 1 species
AUUGAACGCUGGCGGCAUGCUUUACACAUGCAAGUCGAGCGGCAGCGCGGGGGGCAACCCUGGCGGCGAGCGGCGAACGGGUGAGUAAUGCAUCGGAACGUAUCCUGUAGUGGGGAAUAACUCACCGAAAGGUGAGCUAAUACCGCAUAAGCUCUGAGGAGGAAAGCGGGGGACCGAAAGGCCUCGCGCUGCAGGAGCGGCCGAUGUCCGAUUAGCUAGUUGGUGAGGUAAAGGCUCACCAAGGCGACGAUCGGUAGCUGGUCUGAGAGGAUGAUCAGCCACACUGGGACUGAGACACGGCCCAGACUCCUACGGGAGGCAGCAGUGGGGAAUUUUGGACAAUGGGGGAAACCCUGAUCCAGCCAUGCCGCGUGAGUGAAGAAGGCCU